AAAGGACGGAAUUUAGUGCAAACUACUAAAGUAAGUACAAUAGCGUCGUAAACAACCAACUAUUUUUGGUAGUUUUGCAACAAUUUAGAAGAAUGCAAUGACUGAAAAGGGAAAAGGUACAGUAAGAAGUGAGGUGGAUAUAUGUUUGUCACAAUGGACAGCAAGGGAAAUGCAGCUUGUACGUCUACACGAGGAAAUAUUAUCAAGAAGAGAGGCAUUGAUGAACUGUUCCCUAGCAUAUAGUCAGAGCCAGAAUAAUAUGACAUUAACAGGUACACUUACCACAGAACAGGCAUUUAUCAGAAAUCAGAAAUUACUCAAGGAUAUAAAAGUUGCAAAAGAAGAUGUAUAUGAGUCUCUGAAUGCAGCACCAACUCCAAGAUUUAUGACUCUUCAGAAGAACUACUGGUCUAUGGUCAAAAGCCAGGUACCAAUGUGGGAACAAGAUAUUGGAAUAGAGAGGCCAACUAAAGAAAGGACUACUACACCUAGAGCUAGUGGAACCAGGGCUAAAACCACCCACAGCACAUCUGCAGGUAAAAAAUCCUCUGUCGGAGUACAGCCCAAGAAGAAACACACAAAAAAACAGCUUGAUGCCAGACAAAAAUCAGCAAAAUCGAAAUAGCAUUACUAUCUAUAGCUAAAUGGCAGUUCCAUUAUUUAUGAGUGUCUUAUGAAAUGUUUCAAAAAGUACAGUAACGUCCUGCCAAACUGACUGACCAGUGUCAUAUCACUUAAGGGUGCGAUAUAUAACUAUUAAGUGAUUGACAAUUUAUGAUGAAUGCAAAAGAUAAUAUGUCAAGAUUUAGACUGAAAAAAAGAGAGAGCAUUGUUGAAAUGCAUGCCUCCUUUUCUGAAUGUUCAGGGUUAAUUGAGAAUCAGAUAUAGAGAUACUGAUGUGAGUUGUACCCAUCUAAUUGUGGGGGGUACAAUGAAACUUUCACUGUAGGGCUGUCAUUGAUGGAAAAGUUUGUAUCGAUAUAUCAAGGGACAAAUGUCAACGAUAUAUUGAUAUACUGAUUUUGACAGUAGAUACAAUGAAAAAAAUUUUAAUAUGUGUUAUAAAUUGGGAUCAUGGUGCUAUGCAUGCUUGUAUUAGACAUUACAAAUACUACAAACUAACAGAUAGUUUGUUUUUUCUGUUAUUUUUGUCACUGACAGUUGAAAACACUUGAGUUUAAACUUCAGGGUAGCCAAGAAAACUGACAAAAAGUGAGUUCUCUUAUUUGCCAUAAUAGAGAGGUAUAUUCACUAACAGAAAUAAAUAAAUUUUAGCUUGUAUCAAUAUUUAAAAGUGUGUAUUGAUAUUGUAUAGGAUGAUGAAUAUCAGUCGUAUAUCAAUGUUGCGAUAUUCAAUGACAGCCCUAUUUAAAGGCUAUUUUACAGUUACAAAUUAGUAAAUAUACCCGUUAUAAGAUCAACAAGGUGAUGAUGAUUACUCUUUUGUGAACAGUAUUGCACCAUCAAACUAUAAUGGUAAAAGUUUGUUUGUACCCCGAUAUUAGAUGGGACAAAGAUGGUACACAGAAAAAAAUAAAUCCCAAGAAAUAGCGUAAAUGUUUUCUAUAUACAUUUGAUUAUUAAUAUUCACCCUUUUGUUCACCAGUAUAUUAGUCACAAAAUGUUUUUAUUGUUAUCUUUUAUGAGAAUCAUUCACUUUUAACAUUAAUUUAUAUUGAUGAUAUUGUCAAAGUGUAAAAUAGAUUUCCUUAAGUUUGAUCAUCACUAAGAAGGCUUAUGUCUUAAAUCUUUUUUAUAUUUUUUUUUCAUACCUGUUUUUUUUUUGGUAACCAAUUGUGUAACCUGUUCUGUUAUUGAUUUGUUAUUGUCAUUUCAUUGAACCAUCAUUUUUUGCCCUUCACAUUCUCUUUGUUAUACAUUUUUUCCUUUUCUUCAAUCUAAAGAUAUAUUAUGCUCAUGCUGGAGUGAAAUAUUUUAAUCACAGAAACUGUUUGAAAUUUAUGAAAUUCUUACUGAAUAUGUCUUACUUCAAUAAAAAGAAUGAAUAAACUAUGUAUGGGAAGGUGUAUUUCCUAUUACAGGUCAAUAAAAUUGGUGUUUUCUCGACAACAAAAAAACCCAAAAACAACUGCCAGUUUUUUUAAUGACACUAUAUAUUCAUUUUGUGACCACCUAUAGUGUUUAGAGUUUUAGACAAAACAUAUCUUCCAAACAUGUUUAUUUUAUAUUUACAAAGAGACUGUGUUGCAAUUACAAAUACUGUCUUAUUAUCAAAUUUGAGCAUAGUAUAUCUUUAAGAAUCACAUAUUAAAGGUUUUUGUGGUGCUAAAAGCCUAGACUGAUGUAACACAUUCCACUGUCCCUCUUAAACAGAGUCAGUUACAACAAGGCUGUGAUUUUCACAUUUCUGUAUGUGGUCUUAUAGUCUUGGAGGGAUUUCACCUUUUCAAAAAGUUUUACACUGACAUCACUUGCUUGCCUUUUAGUCUAUACCUCAAGUUAUAGUGGAAUAUAAUUGUUGUUUUGUGUAUGUUUGAUUGUAUCGUUAUUUUGUUAUUGUUUUUAUUCACUUUUUUAUUUCUAUUCCUUUUAAUGCAUUCAGAGCUUCUAUUUUUUCUUUAAAGAAUCUUGAAACAAAUUUAAACUAAAAAGUGACUUUUGUACUGUUGUUGAUUUAUAAUUGUAAUAUUAUAUUCUAAUAUAACAUAUUUACAUAUAUAUAAAGUUACACACUUUAGUAUCUUUUUUUAACAUAUUGAAGGGCCUUAAAGUUAAAAAUGACAUGUAAAUGCCAAAGGUCUGUCAGUUAAAUGUCACUGUUACAGAGUCAGGUCUGUCAAGUAAAUGUCACAGUUAGAGUGCCAGGUCUGCUACGUAAAUGUCACAGUUAGAGUGCCAGGUCUGCCACGUAAAUGCCACAUUUACAGAGUCAGGUCUGCUACGUAAAUGUCACAGUUACAGAGCCAGUUCUGCCAGGUAAAUGCCACAUUUACAGAGUCAGGUCUGCCAGGUAAAUGUCACAUUUAUAGAGUCAGGUCUGCCAGGGAAAUGUCACAUUUACAGAGUCAGGUCUGCCAGGUAAAUGUUACAGUUACAGAGUCAGGUCUGCCAGGUAAAUGUCACAUUUAUAGAGUCAGGUCUGCCAGGGAAAUGUCACAUUUACAGAGUCAGGUCUGCCAGGUAAAUGUCACAUUAACAGAGUCAGGUCUGCCAUGUAAAUGUCAAACAGUCAGUCAGAUUUGCGAGAUAAAUGUCACAUUUACAGAGUCACAAUUACAGACUCAGGUCUGUCAUAUAAAUGACACAGUUACAGUGUCAGGUCUGCCAGGUAAAUGUCACAGUUAUAGAGUCAAGUCUGUCAGGUAAAUGUCACAUUUACAGAGUCAGGUCUGUCAUGUAAAUGUCACAGUUACAGAGCCAGGUCUGCCAGGUAAAUGUCACAGUUACAGAGCCAGGUCUGCCAGGUAAAUGUCACAGUUACAGAGCCAGGUCUGCCAGGUAAAUGUCACAGUUAUAGAGUCAAGUCUGUCAGGUAAAUGUCACAGUUAUAGAGUCAAGUCUGUCAGGUAAAUGUCACAUUUACAGAGACAGGUCUUCCAUGUAAAUGUCGCAGUUAUAGAGUUAGGUCUGUUAGGUAAAUGUCACAGUUACAGAGUCAGGUCUGCCAGAACAUUAAGUAUUUAACAUUGAAAUCAUUUGUGGGACAAGUUCUACAGAAAUCAGAGGGUGAAAGGCUAUUAAAACAGUAUUUAAGCACAUUAGUCUCUUAGCUUUUUUAUCACUACAUUUUUACCGAAUCUUGUUGCUUUAUUUAGAACUUUUAUUUAAGAUAAUGUAUCUAGACGUUACUGUUUGUUAUUGUUUUUAUUCUGCAAUAUUUAACCAGAAAUAUCUGUGUGUGUUUUUCUGCAAUAUUUAACCAGAAAUUGUAUAUGUACUCAGUAUAAAUAUUUCUCAAAUCUUAUAUUGUAAUUGUAUAGCUAUGUAAAAUGUAAUGUUAUCUUAGUUAAACACAUUCCAAGAACAUAUUCUAGCAUAACACCAUUACAUAACACCAAAAGUAUAAGAUAACAACACUACAUAACUAAGCAUGACAACAUUACAUAAUUCAACAUUACAACUCUUCAUAACUUAAAAUUACAACACUACAUUCAACAUAAAACAGAACUACAUAACAUAGCCACAUAACAUAGCACUUCCUACAUGUAGGAUAACAUAACAACAUAUACAAGUACAUAAUUCAACAUAGCAUGACUAUAUAGCAUAGCAACAUAACAUAUAGCAUAAAAAGCAUAACAUAGCAACAUAUAUGAUUCAUAAUAAUAUAGCUACAGUAUAUAACAAAGGUACAAAGCAAUUAAAAGAUAAGAUAAAAACUGUUGUUUUGAUAAUUCUCACUUUUUAUAUUUGAAAAUAAUGAUUUCUGUACAUGGGAACACUAAGAAUUCAUUUACCCUAUUAUAUAUGCAUAUUACCUAAUUUUUAUCACCCAGAUGAUGUUAUAUGGUAUUGCAUUCAAAUGUACAUUUGCACCAGUUACAUUGCAGAUUGAUCAUUUCACAGUAAAAAUGAGCAAUGACAAAACCAACAUAGUGUGUUUGUGACCAGCAUGGAUCCGGACCAGCCUGCGCUCCUUGUAAUAGGGUUUGUAAGCAAACAGCAUGGAUCCUGAUCAGACUGUGCGGAUGGGCAGGCUAGUCUAAACUGCGCAGUCUGGUCUGGAUCCAUGCUGGUUGCAAACGCACUAUGUUGCUUUUGGUUUUGUCAUGGCGAGGCUAUUUUUCAUUUUUAAGUAAUCUAAGGAAUAACUUGUUAAAAAAAUCUACAUUUAUCAUUGAAAUCAUGUCAUCAAAGGUUCAUAGUAUAUAAGAUUUCUCAGGAUGUUUGAUUAUAAACUGUAAUGAAAUGGGAGACUUAUUCUAGAAACGACUUUAAAUUGUUUACAAGUGUGUGCAUUGUUCCAUGUACAGUAAUAUACUGCAGAGAUUUAAUGUUUUUGAGGGAAAUGUAUGUUUAUUUCCCAUGUACAGUUUAAAGAGAUUUGAUGUUUUUGAAAUUAGAUUUUGUUACAACGUUGCAAUGUAUACUUAUAGAUAACAAAUAGUUUCAAAUUGGAAAUGGAAUGUAGCAAAUGUUUUAGAAUUAGCCACCGCUCAGAAGUUUCUAUAAUUUUUGCCAUACGACCCUGCCUGUGGAGAAAGGAAUAUACUCAAAUAUAUACAUGUAUAAAAAAUCAUGAUGUACUCUAUACAUGCACAUAUUGUUGUUGUUAAUCAAUGUAUAUACAUGUCUGUUAUUGAAGAUAUGUGCAAUAAAAAAGCUAU